rnacentral:rRNA from 1 species
UACGUAGGGGGCAAGCGUUGUCCGGAUUUAUUGGGCGUAAAGAGCGUGUAGGCGGCCAGGUAGGUCCGCUGUGAAAACUCGAGGCUUAACCUCGAGAUGUCGGUGGAAACCAUCUGGCUAGAGUCCGGAAGAGGAGAGUGGAAUUCCUGGUGUAGCGGUGAAAUGCGCAGAUAUCAGGAAGAACACCAAUGGCGAAAGCAGCUCUCUGGGACGGUACUGACGCUGAGACGCGAAAGCGUGGGGAGCGAACAGG